rnacentral:rRNA from 1 species
AGUGAACGCUGGCGGUAGGCCUAACACAUGCAAGUCGAACGGCAGCACAGUAAGAGCUUGCUCUUACGGAGGGCGAGUCGCGGACGGAUGAGGAAUAUAUCCGAAUCUACUUUUUCGUGGGGGUUCACGUAGGGGAACUUACUAUAAUACAGCAUACGACCUUCCGGGGAAAGCGGUGGAUCGUCGCAGCGUGCGCGGUUGGACUCGCCGCUGUCGGAUUAGCUGGUGGGCGGGGUAAAGGCCAACCAAGGCGCGGAUUGGUAGCUGGUCUGAGAGGCGGAUAAGCGACACUGGAGCUUGGACACGGUCCAGAGUCCUGCGGGAGGCAGCAGUGGCGAACAUUGGACAAUGGGCGCAAGCCUGAUCCAGCCAUAGCGAGUGGGUGAAGGAGGCCUUCGGGUUGUAAAGCCCUUUUGUUGGGAAAGAAAAGCAGCAGGUUAAUACCCCGCUGUUCUGACGGUACCCAAUGAAUAAGCACCGGCUAACUUCGUG